rnacentral:rRNA from 1 species
CGAACGCUGGCGGCAGGCCUAACACAUGCAAGUCGAGCGAGCCUUCGGGCUAGCGGCGGACGGGUGAGUAACACGUGGGAAUAUGCCCUAUACUAAGGAAUAGCCACUGGAAACGGUGAGUAAUACCUUAUACGCCCUUCGGGGGAAAGAAUUUCGGUAUAGGAUUAGCCCGCGUCUGAUUAGAUAGUUG